rnacentral:rRNA from 1 species
GAUGAACGCUGGCAGAAUGCUUAACACAUCAGCGACUGAUUGGUGGCAGACGGGUGAGUAACGCGUAAAUAACUUGCCUCACAGGUAGGGACCACAUUUGGAAACGAAUGCUAAUACCUAAUCCUGUGUGAGAGCUUUGCGUCCCAUUUGCUAGUUGGAGAGGUAACGGCUCACCAAGGCGAGGAUGUGUAGCCGGCCUGCGAGGGUGAUCGGCUACAAGGGGACAGAGACACGGGCCUUACGCCUACGGGAGGCAGGAGUGGGGAAGAUAGGACAAUGGACCAAAGGCUGAGCCAGCAAUUCUGUGUGCACGAUGAAGUUUUCGGAAGGUAAAGUGCUGUCAGUUGGGAAGCGGUACCAACAGAAGAAGGGACGGCUAACUACGUGCCAGCAGCCGCGGUAAUUC